rnacentral:misc_RNA from 1 species
UGGAGACAUAGAGUGGAGAAUUAUUGGAAUCUCCUGAGUCCAAAGAUUCAAUCAGACACCCUGAGGAACUUGAUGGACAUGAAAGCAAACUUGGGUUCAUUUGCAGCUGCCCUUAAAGACAAGGAUGUUUGGGUGAUGAAUGUUGUGCCUGAAGAUGGACCAAACACACUGAAAGUGAUAUAUGACAGAGGCCUGAUUGGCACUGUACAUAACUGGUGCGAAGCCUAUUCAACAUAUCCUCGGACCUAUGAUUUGCUCCAUGCUUGGACUGUCUU